UGAUCCUGGCUCAGAACGAACGUUAGCGGCGCGCCUAACACAUGCAAGUCGAGCGAGAAAGGGGCAACCCCGGUAAAGCGGCGCACGGGUGAGUAACACGUAGGUAAUCUACCCCUCGGGUGGAGGAUAACUUUCCGAAAGGAAGGCUAAUACUGCAUGAGACCACGAUUCCGGAAGGGAUUGAGGUCAAAGCCGGCCACUGUACACAAGCUGGCGCCUGAGGAUGAGCCUGCGGCCCAUCAGCUAGUUGGUAGGGUAAUGGCCUACCAAGGCGAAGACGGGUAGCUGGUCUGAGAGGAUGAUCAGCCACACUGGAACUGAGACACGGUCCAGACUCCUACGGGAGGCAGCAGUGGGGAAUCUUGCGCAAUGGGCGAAAGCCUGACGCAGCGACGCCGCGUGAGUGAUGAAGGCCUCGGUUGUAAGUACGUCU
rnacentral:rRNA from 1 species